GUAGGUGAACCUGCGGAAGGAUCAUUACAAAAUUUUGAGUGCUUUGAGUGAUCAUGUACUUUUACCUAUGCAAAUAGGUUGAAAGUAGAUGAUUACCGACACCACUUUUACGCUUGUUGUGUUUGACAGAGUUAUGUAUGAGAGUAAAUAUAGACAACUUUUAACAAUGGAUCUCUUGGCUCUUGCAUCGAUGAAGAACGCAGCAUCUGACUGACUCGACAGCUG
rnacentral:misc_RNA from 1 species